AACAGGAUUAGAUACCCUGGUAGUCCAUGCCGUAAACGAUGUCUACUAGCCGUUGGGGCCUUUGAGGCUUUAGUGGCGCAGCUAACGCGAUAAGUAGACCGCCUGGGGAGUACGGUCGCAAGACUAAAACUCAAAUGAAUUGACGGGGGCCCGCACAAGCGGUGGAGCAUGUGGUUUAAUUCGAUGCAACGCGAAGAGCCUUACCUGGCCUUGACAUACUAAGAACUUUCCAGAGAUGGAUUGGUGCCUUCGGGAACUUAGAUACAGGUGCUGCAUGGCUGUCGUCAGCUCGUGUCGUGAGAUGUUGGGUUAAGUCCCGCAACGAGCGCAACCCUUUUCCUUAUUUGCCAGCGGGUAAUGCCGGGAACUUUAAGGAUACUGCCAGUGGCAAACUGGAGGAAGGCGGGGACGACGUCAAGUCAUCAUGGCCCUUACGGCCAGGGCUACACACGUGCUACAAUGGUCGGUACAAAGGGUUGCUACCUCGCGAGAGGAUGCUAAUCUCAAAAAGCCGAUCGUAGUCCGGAUCGCAGUCUGCAACUCGACUGCGUGAAGUCGGAAUCGCUAGUAAUCGCGGAUCAGAAUGCCGCGGUGAAUACGUUCCCGGGCCUUGUACACACCGCCCGUCACACCAUGGGAGUUUGUUGCACCAGAAGUAGGUAGUCUAACCGUAAGGAGGACGCUUACCACGGUGUGGCCGAUGACUGGGGUGAAGUCGUAACAAGGUAACC
rnacentral:rRNA from 1 species